GUGAGGAAUAUUGCGCAAUGGAGGCAACUCUGACGCAGCCAUGCCGGGUGCAGGAAGAAGGCGCUACGCGUUGUAAACUGCUUUUAACCGGGAAGAAACCCCAGGACGUGUCCUGGGUUGACGGUACCGGAGGAAUAAGCACCGGCUAACUUCGUGCCAGCCGCCGCGGUAAUACGAAGGGUGCAAGCGUUAUCCGGAGUCAUUGGGUUCAAAGGGUGCGUAGGCGGAGCGUUAAGUCAGUGGUGAAAUCCUGCAGCUUAACUGUAGACUGGCCAUUGAUACGGGCGCGCUUGAGUGCGCUUGAAGUGGGCGGAAUGUGCCGUGUAGCGGUGAAAUGCUUAGAUAUGGCACAGAACACCAAUUGCGAAGGCAGCUCACUAAGGCGAUACUGACGCUGAGGCACGAAAGCGUGGGGAUCGAACAGGAUUAGAUACCCGGGUAGUCC
rnacentral:rRNA from 1 species